UACGUAGGGGGCGAGCGUUGUCCGGAAUUACUGGGCGUAAAGAGAGCGUAGGCGGCACUACAAGUCUCAUGUGAAAUACCCGGGCUUAACUUGGGGGUUGCAUGGGAAACUGUAGAGCUUGAGUACAGGAGAGGCAAGCGGAAUUCCUAGUGUAGCGGUGAAAUGCAUAGAUAUUAGGAGGAACACCAGUGGCGAAGGCGGCUUGCUGGACUGAAACUGACGCUGAGGCGCGAAAGCGUGGGGAGCAAACAGG
rnacentral:rRNA from 1 species